GGGAUGGAUCCCGAAGGGACUGACAGUGGGCGAUACAUUCGACUAAAAAAGGCCUGAUGAGGGGGACGUAACAGGGUGUCGCAGCUGCUGGCCCGCCACGUGAUAUUUAAAUCCCUAGCUCACCCCAGUACCUUGCCCUGCCCCGUCGUGGUUUCCUGUUCCUGUUUCCUGAGAGUGCUUUAUCAUUGUGAAUCUGAUUUCCUGGUAUCCUGAAUUCUGGUUUCCCUGACUUGGCUUGUGUAAACGGUAUUGUGUAUUU